CCGCAGCGAUUCUGACGUGCAAAUCGAUCGUCAAACUUGGGUAUAGGGGCGAAAGACUAAUCGAACCAUCUAGUAGCUGGUUCCCUCCGAAGUUUCCCUCAGGAUAGCUGGUACUCAUACACGCAGUUUUAUCCGGUAAAGCGAAUGAUUAGAGGCCUUGGGGACGAAACGACCUCAACCUAUUCUCAAACUUUAAAUGGGUAAGAAAGUCUGACUCGCUUUAU
rnacentral:rRNA from 1 species